rnacentral:rRNA from 1 species
GAUGGUUCUGCUAUCGCUUUUAGAUGGACCCGCGGCGUAUUAACUAGUUGGUGGGGUAACGGCCUACCAAGGUGAUGAUACGUAGCCGAACUGAGAGGUUGAUCGGCCACAUUGGGACUGAGACACGGCCCAAACUCCUACGGGAGGCAGCAGUAGGGAAUCUUCCACAAUGGACGCAAGUCUGAUGGAGCAACGCCGCGUGAGUGAAGAAGGUCUUCGGAUCGUAAAACUCUGUUGUUAGAGAAGAACACGAGUGAGAGUAACUGUUCAUUCGAUGACGGUAUCUAACCAGCAAGUCACGGCUAACUACGUGCCAGCAGCCGCGGUAAUACGUAGGUGGCAAGCGUUGUCCGGAUUUAUUGGGCGUAAAGGGAGCGCAGGCGGUCAUUAAAGUCUGAUGUAAAAGCCUUCGGCUCAACCGGAGUAGUGCAUUGGAAACUGUAAGACUUGAGUGCAGAAGAGGAGAGUGGAACUCCAUGUGUAGCGGUGAAAUGCG